AGUUCCGAUAGCGUGUAUUAAAGUUGUUGCAGUAAAAAUCUCGUAGUUGGAUUUCUAGCUGGGCAUGCUAGUCCGCUUUUACCAAUGUGUACUAUACAUAUUUGACCGUCCUUUAGGAGAGCCACAGUGGUAUUAAGAUGUUUGUGUGGGGACCCCAAUCCUUUACUGUGAAGAAAUGAGAGUGUUCAAAGCAGGCUUACGACAUUGAACAUAUUAGCAUGAAAUAAUAACAUAGGACUAUUGUACUAUUUUGUUAGUUUGUAAACAAUAGUAAUGAUUAAUAGGGACAGUUGACGGUACUCGUAUUCUAUUGUCAGAGGUGAAAUUCUUGAAUUUUUGGAAGACAAACUAUUGCAAAAGCAUUCAUCAAAGAUGUUUUCA
rnacentral:rRNA from 1 species